rnacentral:rRNA from 1 species
AUAAUGCAGUCGAGCGCAGGAGCCGUCUGACCCUUCGGGGGGACGACGGUGGAAUGAGCGGCGGACGGGUGAGUAACACGUAAAGAACCUGCCCAUAGGUCUGGGAUAACCACGAGAAAUCGGGGCUAAUACCGGAUGUGUCAUCGGACCGCAUGGUCCGCUGAUGAAAGGCGCUCCGGCGUCGCCCAUGGAUGGCUUUGCGGUGCAUUAGCUAGUUGGUGGGGUAACGGCCCACCAAGGCGACGAUGCAUAGCCGACCUGAGAGGGUGAUCGGCCACACUGGGACUGAGACACGGCCCAGACUCCUACGGGAGGCAGCAGUAGGGAAUCUUCCACAAUGGACGAAAGUCUGAUGGAGCAACGCCGCGUGAACGAUGAAGGCUUUCGGGUCGUAAAGUUCUGUUGUAAGGGAAGAACAAGUGCCGCAGGCAAUGGCGGCACCUUGACGGUACCUUGCGAGAAAGCCACGGCUAACUACGUGCCAGCAGCCGCGGUAAUACGUAGGUGGCAAGCGUUGUCCGGAAUUAUUGGGGCGUAAAGCGCGCGCAGGCGGCCUCUUAAGUCUGAUGUGAAAGCCCCCGGCUCAACCGGGGGAGGGCCAUUGGGAAACUGGGAGGCUUU